AUACGGAGGGUGCAAACGUUGUUCGGAAUUACUGGGCGUAAAGCGCGCGUAGGCGGCUUGUUAAGUCAGAUGUGAAAGUCCACAGCUCAACUGUGGAAGUGCAUUUGAAACUGGCAGGCUUGAGUACUGGAGGGGAUGGUGGAAUUCCCGGUGUAGAGGUGAAAUUCGUAGAUAUCGGGAGGAAUACCGGUGGCGAAGGCGACCUUCUGGCCAGAUACUGACGCUGAGGUGCGAAAGCGUGGGGAGCAAACAGGAUUAGAUACCCUAGUAGUCC
rnacentral:rRNA from 1 species